GCUUGUAGUAAAAUUCGUGUCGUUUAAUUAUAGCUUUUUUUUAUAACUUUGUAUAUUUUAUAUUAUUUUAUUUUACCUUGAUACCGUAGCCGGUGACGCUACCUUCAGAUCGGCCACCUCGAACAUCAUCGUCUGGCAUCCACUGGACCGUCAAAAACGUACCAGCGUUUUUCCUUGUCCGUUGCGGCAGUUCCGGAACGGAUUAACGUCGAGAGUAUUCCAUCUGUCCUGAAGAUUCAAAAAUGAAUAUUAUUUUUUAAGAUAAAAAUUUUUUAAAUUAAACAAAAGAGUCCACUGCCAGUUUCCUCUUCUCCAGAGAUCACGUCGUGGAGAUUACAUAUUUACAAAGUGAAUUCAUCAAUUAUGGCCAAAUUAUCAUAUUCCUUUUUUGGGCAUACAGAAUAUUCUGUAACGAGAAAGAGUCUUUGGCAACGGAAAAAAAAAAAAAAAGGAUCCACCCUGUACCAAUAGACAUAUUGAAUACGUUACAGCGACAGAAGGUAACACGGAUUAGAUACACGACUACAAACUCAUGGAAGUCAGAUAAAAAAAAUUCUUGGCAUCUUUCCAAAACUCUCGUAGGUCCAUUGACUCUGAUUUAUAUAGCAAGAUUCGAGAUAAAGCAUGGACAGGGUAAUCAUCGAAAAAUUCCAUCAUGAGUAAC